UUAGCGAGAAAGCGUUGCCGCAGGCAACGACCCGAAGGGCGAAGCGCACCGCGCUGAGUAAUCCUUCCCCCACCACCA
rnacentral:sRNA from 1 species